rnacentral:tRNA from 1 species
GGGGCUAUAGCUCACUGGUAGAGCGCAUGCUUAGCAUGCACAAAGUCCUGGGUUCAACCCCCAGGACCUCCG